UAUGUUCAGGGCAAGAGAUUAAUAGCAAUAUCGAACUUUCUUGAGUACGACAUAAUAAUUUAUUGACUUCCCAAAAUCAGUAAAAGAUUCGAUUGAUCGCGCGAUACUGUUGCCCCGCGAGUUCGUUAAAAUAUAUCUUAUGGUGAAAGUAAGUGUCGGUACACUACUAUGUUUCUAAUCAUCGAUGCAUCUUAUGUAGUUAUAUCCGUUAAAAUGAAAAUCCAGCGCUCCGCUACUUCAUUAUUUGCAUUCAUUAAAUCUCUUACGGUUACAGGCAAGAGAAAGGAAACAAGAAAGCGUAGAAAUAAUAUUGCAAUUCAGCCAUUCUGUUCUCGUGUUCUUUAUCUGCGAAAGACGUCUCAUCAAAAAUCAACCUAUUACUAAUCAAAUUACUAAUAUGAUACUUAUAGUAAUGUGACAUCAAUUGCACGUGCCAAAGGAAUUGCUUCGUUACGCUACACUAUGUUAUGACAUCACUGUUCUCUCAAAACCUUGUCCGACCGGUGAAGCUUGCGUAACUUCACCACAUUUACCUUGCCGAAUUUUUGUAUUGUCAAUCACUCGAACUUUGGCAUAUUCCACAAUAUUAAUUAAGAUUUGACAGACGCUAACAGACGUGGUUCUAGACGACUUAACAGGAUAAUUGCUUAUGAUCGAUGGAAAUCAUUCUAACCUCAACACAAGCGCUUUUCGAGACCGUUGGAACUUGGAACACACGAUUGUGAUGAAUACAAGCAUGUAUCUAUCCAUCCACGGGCCCCGCACUGUACAACUUCCUUUAUAACCUAAAUAAUAUAUCUUAAACAAAAUGAAAGACUAAUAAACAAAAAUAUCUCGAUCUUUCUGACAAAUAAAGCAAAUAAAAGA